GAAUGCACCAUUUCAAGCAAAACACAGACUCAAACAAAACUAAACGACCUUGACUCACAACCUACUUACACCAAAACGCAGCGUAUUAUUAACACAGCACUCCUACAAGUCGUAUGCUUCCUAACUAGUAGUUAAAGUCAUUGCUGCCACUCAAUCCCGUCCUUGCUAUAUAGCCUCGAUGCUUCUCUCCUCUUCAUGAGCCAGCCCACAAGCACCCGUGACAUCUCUCUCUGAGCCUUCAUCGCGAUCUUCACAAACUAGAGAAGUUCGAUUGCAAGACUCAUACAUACUUAAGCAGUUCAUGAAAUUCCAUACUAUUAUGGGAAGCAUCUUCUAUAUGAAGGUGUAAAUGAGGGGCUUUACACCGACCCACUAAUGAGAAGCAUCUUCUAUCUUGUGAGUUUCCAUGUCCCCGAGGAUGGGAACGGUAAAGCGUAUGGCUCCAAUAUUGAGUGUGAGGAACUUGAAGUUGCUGUUAAGAAGCCAACUGGCUCCACUUUUGGCUUUGCUACAGUGCAAAGUUUUUUUAAAAAAAUAUCUUUAUUUUCCUGUACCUGGAAGAUGAUAGUAACAGUACAGAGAGAUUUUUACUUAUAUAUAUAAAAAAAAAAAAAAAAAAAAAAAAAGUAUAGAGGGAUUUUGGACCAUUCUAUGUAAUAUUGCAUCUCUUUUUAUAGAGAUUUUGGAUGCAAAUUUGUACAUUGUGGUUCUACUCAUGGCUGGUGACAAGGAGCACCCCACAUGGCUUAUUAAUUGCAUAUUAGGCAGGAUUGAUCAAUACAUCCAUUAAUCACCAAAAUGCUGCUAUUUCUCCGUUCUUUUUGCUUGUUUUCUUUAUUCACCCGUUUAGGAUGUGUCUGAAUUCUGACUCUGAAAUAGUGCUAAUAUGACUUAGGUUCCCUCGAUCUAGAGACCCAUCUGCUGCAAUUCUGCUCCAGCUUUGAGGCUCUUUGUAGCCUGGUUCGAUGUAGUCAAAGAUGGAAAUUUGUAACAUUUACUUUAUUGUUGUUGGGAACAUUUGUAGGGCAUUUAGAAGUUUGUAAUUUAAUUUAUUUUGGUGCAUUUGGAAGUUUGUAAUUUGUUGUUGUUACCUUUUUGGGAACAUUCAAUUUGGUUUGCACUUAGAAAAUGUUGGGUUUCUCAUUUCUUUUA